rnacentral:rRNA from 1 species
GACGUAGGGCGCGAGCGUUGUCCGGAUUUAUUGGGCGUAAAGAGCUCGUAGGCGGUUUGUCGCGUCUGCUGUGAAAACUCGGGGCUUAACUCCGGGCCUGCAGUGGGUACGGGCAGGCUGGAGGCUGGUAGGGGCAAGCGGAAUUCCUGGUGUAGCGGUGAAAUGCGCAGAUAUCAGGAGGAACACCGGUGGCGAAGGCGGCUUGCUGGGCCAGUUCUGACGCUGAGGAGCGAAAGCGUGGGGAGCGAACAGG